AGCGAACGCUGGCGGCAGGCUUAACACAUGCAAGUCGAGCGGGCCCUUCGGGGUCAGCGGCGGACGGGUGAGUAACGCGUGGGAACGUGCCUUCUGGUCUGGAAUAACCCUGGGAAACUAGGGCUAAUACCGGAUACGCCCUUUGGGGGAAAGGUUUACUGGCGGAAGAUCGGCCCGCGUCGGAUUAGCUAGUUGGUGGGGUAACGGCCUACCAAGCCGACGAUCAGUAGCUGGUCUGAGAGGAUGAUCAGCCACACUGGGACUGAGUCACGGCCCAGACUCCUACGGGAGGCAGCAGUGGGGAAUAUUGGACAAUGGGCGAAAGCCUGAUCCAGCCAUGCCGCGUGAGUGAUGAAGGCCUUAGGGUUGUAAAGCUCUUUUAUCCGGGACGAUAAUGACGGUACCGGAGGAAUAAGCCCCGGCUAACUUCGUG
rnacentral:rRNA from 1 species